rnacentral:lncRNA from 7 species
GGAAACGGCGGCCUCGCCCCGGCCCCUCCCGACCCCUCCCGGCCUCGCCCGGCCGCUGGGAGCUGCGCCACCGCGCAACGGAGCCCGGCGCUGCCCGGCGGUGCGCGGUUCUCACGGCGCAGCGCUUUGGGAACGCAACAGUUUUCUCCUCCGGUGCCCGCCGUGCGCGACGUGGGAGGGGGAAGUGCCGGAGCUGCGGGUCCACCGUCACCGCGGCUUCGACGGCGCUCAGCGCAAGGACUCGUGCAGCAUUGGUUCGUUUCGAGGAGGGACAGCUGCAGUGAGACUCGGAGCCCUGCUCACACAGAUGCUUUCUAGUGAUGCAGCACCGCUGUAAGCGAUGUGUGGUUACAAGAUGUGAAGGUGUUUAGGAAAAAAAAAAAAAACUGUUUCCAAGUCAGGUGGAUUCCUG